rnacentral:rRNA from 1 species
GACGAACGCUGGCGGCGUGCUUAACACAUGCAAGUCGAACGCUGAAGCUCAGCUUGCUGGGUGGAUGAGUGGCGAACGGGUGAGUAACACGUGAGUAACCUGCCCUCUUCUUUGGGAUAACGCCCGGAAACGGGUGCUAAUACUGGAUAUUCACUGAUUCUCGCAUGGGGGUUGGUGGAAAGGUUUUUUCUGGUGGGGGAUGGGCUCGCGGCCUAUCAGCUUGUUGGUGGGGUGAUGGCCUACCAAGGCUUUGACGGGUAGCCGGCCUGAGAGGGUGACCGGUCACAUUGGGACUGGGAUACGGCCCAGACGCAUACGGGAGGCAGCAGUGGGGAAUAUUGAACAAUGGGCGAAAGCCGGAUGCAGCGACGCCGCGUGAGGGAUGGAGGCCUUCGGGUUGUAAACCUCUUUCGCUCAUGGUCAAGCCGCAGCUUUGGGUUGUGGUGAGGGUAGUGGGUAAAGAAGCGCCGGCUAACUACGUG